rnacentral:lncRNA from 1 species
UAACCCUCAACCUACGCAAGAAAAAAAUAGUAGUAGUAUAAUAAAGGGAAAGUUUUCUGUCAAAGAUGUUGUUUUGCUUUUGGAAGUACCAACCAAAAUCUCCUUCUAGUUAGAAAGAUAGUACAAAAGCACUACGUACCUUGUGAAAAAAGCUGACUCAUACACAUGCACUUCCCCAUGUCUUUUUAUAGGAGUAAUACACACGUUCGGACCAGAAUUUGCGCCCAUGAAUGACCACUAAUUUAAUGAGUGUCACGUUUGUACAACAUGAGGGCAACUUAGAAGAUCUCAUAAGACCAUUCUUGUUGGUUUUCACAUCUCAGAUGCUAUUAUAGAAAGAAUAUAAGAAGCAUCCAUCCAUCAACUACCUUGAAUCUUGACCUCCUCAGUUCAGCACAUCUCUUCCAAAGACUAUCAGACUAUUACUGGAAAAAUAGUUCCAAGUACAAUGAAGGUCAUCCUGAAUGAGCUAGCAUGUCAUGCUGAUGUUUGGAGGAAUGUUAAUACUGGCAGCAGCAUGGGAUGUGCAUAAACUAGAUGGAGAGUCAUUUCAGCCAUAACGUCUCGCCAAAAUGUGCCAUGUACCUGAGAGUUUAAGAAGAUAAUAAAGCAUAUAUCAUCCAGUUGAAGACUGCCUCUCUAUCUACUUUGUCUGAGGUAGUGGUAUGGACUGCGUACACUUUACCCUCAGUAUGUUGUUGUUGCAUCUCAGUUGAAGACUUUGGAUGGAUGGAUCAUAAACAUCUGCACCUGCCUCCAAGGCUGAUACAAAUACACUACCUAUUCUUGGCCUUGAAGGCUUUAGUUUUGGUACAAGGGGAUGAGCAAAAUUAUGCUUGCUACAAUAUCAAAUUAUCACACACAGACACUGUAAUAGUACCAAAUAUACAAUAGAAAACAAGCACUUUUUACCCCUUCUCUCAAGAAGCAUGAAAACAGAUAAUCUUAGUAGUGGACUAAAAUUUUGAAUUCAUUCCUUCUACUGCCAUUGAUGAGCAUAAGAUGCACAUAAUCUUUGUUCAUUCUUUAAACUGCC